rnacentral:ribozyme from 1 species
UUUUUUUUCAUCAACUUUUUUUUUCAAGUUUCUUUUUCGACGUUUUUUUUUCUCGUGUUUGGACGAUGUCUCAAACAAUGAGGUCUGUCGAUGCUGCGGCGCUCAUGGCUUGGGUAAAAAGGGGAUAGUUAACUUAGUUACACUUAACCACGUAUGAAUUUCUUUGUU